UACGAAGGGAGCUAGCGUUGUUCGGAAUCACUGGGCGUAAAGCGCACGUAGGCGGAUGUGUCAGUCAGGGGUGAAAUCCCGGAGCUCAACUUCGGAACUGCCUUUGAUACAGCACAUCUGGAGUCCGGAAGAGGUGGGUGGAAUUCCUAGUGUAGAGGUGAAAUUCGUAGAUAUUAGGAAGACCAGUGGCGAAGGCGGGUCUCUGGACAGUUCCUGACACUGAGGCACGAAGGCCAGGGGAGCAAACGGGG
rnacentral:rRNA from 1 species